UUGCCCUAGUAACGGCGAGUGAAGCGGCAACAGCUCAAAUUUGAAAUCUGGCGUCUUUGGCGUCCGAGUUGUAAUUUGCAGAGGGCGCUUUGGCAUUGGCAGCGGUCCAAGUUCCUUGGAACAGGACGUCACAGAGGGUGAGAAUCCCGUACGUGGUCGCUAGCCUUUACCGUGUAAAGCCCCUUCGACGAGUCGAGUUGUUUGGGAAUGCAGCUCUAAAUGGGAGGUAAAUUUCUUCUAAAGCUAAAUACUGGCCAGAGACCGAUAGCGCACAAGUAGAGUGAUCGAAAGAUGAAAAGCACUUUGGAAAGAGAGUUAAAAAGCACGUGAAAUUGUUGAAAGGGAAGCGCUUGCAGCCAGACUUGCCUGUAGUUGCUCAUCCGGGUUUUUACCCGGUGCACUCUUCUAUAGGCAGGCCAGCAUCAGUUUGGGCGGUUGGAUAAAGGUCUCUGUCAUGUACCUCUCUUCGGGGAGAACUUAUAGGGGAGACGACAUGCAACCAGCCUGGACUGAGGUCCGCGCAUCUGCUAGGAUGCUGGCGUAAUGGCUGUAAGCGGCCCGUCUUGAAACACGGACCAAGGAGUCUAACAUCUAUGCGAGUGUUUGGGUGUCAAGCCCGAGCGCGUAAUGAAAGUGAACGGAGGUGGGAACCCCUCGGGGUGCACCAUCGACCGAUCCUGAUGUCUUCGGAUGGAUUUGAGUAAGAGCAUAGCUGUUGGGACCCGAAAGAUGGUGAACUAUGCUUGAAUAGGGUGAAGCCAGAGGAAACUCUGGUGGAGGCUCGCAGCGGUUCUGACGUGCAAAUCGAUCGUCAAAUUUGGGCAUAGGGGCGAAAGAC
rnacentral:rRNA from 2 species